UACAGAGGUCUCAAGCGUUGUUCGGAUUCACUGGGCGUAAAGGGUGCGUAGGUGGCCAGGUAAGUCUGAUGUGAAAUCUCGGAGCUUAACUCCGAAACUGCAUUGGAUACUAUCUGGCUAGAGGGUCGGAGGGGAGACUGGAAUUCUCGGUGUAGCAGUGAAAUGCGUAGAUAUCGAGAGGAACACCAGUGGCGAAGGCGAGUCUCGUGGACGACUCCUGACACUGAGGCACGAAAGCUAGGGGAGCAAACAGG
rnacentral:rRNA from 1 species